GAAAAGAGCGGUGCGCGCUCCCGACAGGGGGUGCAUUUCACGGCAGGGGUGCAGAAUUCGGCACAACACCGGCAUCUUCGCUGGUACUGACCGUCAAAGAAGCGUGGUUGAAUGGGCUUGGAACCCCAUCCCAAUAUGGCGGCGGUAUUGAGGCAUGCUGAGAGGCUGAAUGCGACAUAGUGUUUAUAUCUAUGGGAGAAAACAUAAUUUACAAGACUCGGGGACUGGAAGUGGAAUUAAAACUGAAGAUAACAUGCACAUUCCUUUUUGUAUUAUUUACUAAUUUUCCUUACCUCAGAAAUGAGGUUUGCUGCUAUAUUGUGCACCAAAAGAGAUUUUGAUGCUGCUAUUUUUAUUGUUUAUAAGUUUAAGUUAUUGUUUGUAAGUUGUAUUGUGUUUUUGUUAUUUGUUUAUAUUUAAAUUUACACAAGUCAGUAUUCAAUAAAUGCUUUUAUUAGGAACACAAUGUUAGAACAUUCAGUUUUUGUUAACUGUUUUAUAUGGGAAUUGGCUCGAUUUGUUUGAAAUUAUAAUUUUGCAGGAUGAAGUUUGUGCUGUUAGUGAACUGUAUGUUGUACUGAUGGUUGUUUCUGUUAUUCUGUAUGUUAAACAGUAAACGUGAAUGUAAAAAUGUCACACUGUUGUCAGCUUUUGCACAAUGCCAGUUUUUUAGGUUUAAAAUAUGGCACUGAAUGCACUUUUUUGUGUGAAAGUUCAUGUGUUUUGCUAUUUAGUGUAUUUCUGACAAAUAUUUGAAAUUGCACUGUUAAAUGAAAUGUAAAGUUCUCUAAGCAUUUGCAAUGUUUUAAAUAAAGAUUGUUCAUGUUUCGUAA